rnacentral:rRNA from 1 species
CAGCCGCGCGGUAAUACCGGCGGCCCGAGUGGCGGUCACUAUUAUUGGGCUUAAAGCGUCCGUAGCCGGGUUGGGAAGUCCUCCGGGAAAUCUGGCCGCUUAACGGUCAGAAUGCCGGAGGAUACUCCCAGCCUAGGGAGCGGGAGAGGCCGAGGGUAUUCCCGGAGUAGGGGCGAAAUCCUAUAAUCCCAGGAGGACCACCAGUGGCGAAGGCGCCCGGCUGGCACGCGCCCGACGGUGAGGGACGAAAGCUGGGGGAGCAAAGGGGAUUAGAUACCCCCGUAGUCCCAGCUGUAAACGAUGCGGGCUAGAUGUUGGGCGGGCCUCGAGCCCGCCCAGUGUCGUAGGGAAGCCGUUAAGCCCGCCGCCUGGGGAGUACGGCCGCAAGGCUGAAACUUAAAGGAAUUGGCGGG